rnacentral:rRNA from 1 species
GGGCCCGCACAAGCGGUGGAGCAUGUGGUUUAAUUCGAUGAUACGCGAGGAACCUUACCAGGGCUUAAAUGUAGUCUGACAGCUUUAGAGAUAGAGUUUUCUUCGGACAGAUUACAAGGUGCUGCAUGGUUGUCGUCAGCUCGUGCCGUGAGGUGUCAGGUUAAGUCCUAUAACGAGCGCAACCCCUGUCGUUAGUUGCCAGCAUGUCAUGAUGGGGACUCUAACGAGACUGCCGGUGCAAACCGUGAGGAAGGUGGGGAUGACGUCAAAUCAUCACGGCCCUUACGUCCUGGCCACACACGUGCUACAAUGGCGGUGACAGUGGGCAGCCACUCAGCAAUGAGGAGCUAA